rnacentral:rRNA from 1 species
UCUAUUACUAUAAAAUGACUGGCGGAAUGUAGCUUCGAUUUCGGUUGAAGUGUUAUAGCCUCUGGUAGAUGUGGUAAUUGGGACUGAGGAUUGCAACGAAUAUCCUUUGGGCUAUCCGUCUGGCCUCUGAAAGUUGCUUGGGUGCUGAAAGCUUGCUUAUGGUUAUCUAAGUUAACGGUCAAUAGGUUAGAACGUGAUUACAUUCGUUAAGGAUGUUGACGUAA